UACGUAGGCAGCGAGCGUUGUUCGGAGUUACUGGGCGUAAAGCGUGCGUAGGCGGUGUCUUAAGUUUGUUGUGAAAUCUCCCGGCUCAACUGGGAGGGUGCGGCGAAUACUGAGAUGCUGGAGUGCGGGAGAGGUAAGCGGAAUUCCAGGUGUAGCGGUGAAAUGCGUAGAUAUCUGGAGGAAUACCGGUGGCGAAGGCGGCAUCCUGGACCGACAUUGACGCUGAUGCGCGAAAGCCAGGGGA
rnacentral:rRNA from 1 species